GAUGAAGAACGUAGCGAAAUGCGAUAACUAAUGUGAAUUGCAGAAUUCAGUGAAUCAUCGAGUCUUUGAACGCACAUUGCGCCCCCUGGUAUUCCGGGGGGCAUGCCUGUCCGAGCGUCAUUGCUGCCCUCAAGCCCGGCUUGUGUGUUGGGUCGCCGUCCCCCUCUCCGGGGGGACGGGCCCGAAAGGCAGCGGCGGCACCGCGUCCGAUCCUCGAGCGUAUGGGGCUUUGUCACAUGCUCUGUAGGAUUGGCCGGCGCCUGCCGACGUUUUCCAACCAUUCUUUCCAGGUUGACCUCGUAUCAGGUAUGGAUACCCGCUGAACUUAAGCAUAUCAAUAAGCGGAGGA
rnacentral:misc_RNA from 1 species